rnacentral:misc_RNA from 1 species
UCCCCGUUACCGGGGCAGUCUAGCUAGAAAAAUUCAACUAACUACAAGGGUUGCGCUCGUUACUGGACUUAACCAUACAUCUCACGACACGAGCUGACGACGGCCAUGCAUCACCUGUCACUGCGUUCUAAAAGCACAGUCUCCUUUCGGAGACCUUCACAGGAUGUCAAGCCUUGGUAAGGUUCUUCGUUUACUAUCGAAUUAAACAACACGCUCCACCGCUUGUGCGGGUCCCCGUCAAUUCCUUUAUGUUUUAAGCUUGCGCUCGUACUCCACAGGCGGGAUGCUUAACGCGUUAGCUUCGCUACUACCAGGAUCGAUACUGAUAACAGCUAGCAUCCAUCGUUUACGGCGUGGACUAC